rnacentral:rRNA from 1 species
CCUACGGGAGGCAGCAGUGGGGAAUCUUAGACAAUGGGCGCAAGCCUGAUCUAGCCAUGCCGCGUGAGUGAUGAAGGCCUUAGGGUCGUAAAGCUCUUUCGCCUGUGAAGAUAAUGACUGUAGCAGGUAAAGAAACCCCGGCUAACUCCGUGCCAGCAGCCGCGGUAAUACGGAGGGGGUUAGCGUUGUUCGGAAUUACUGGGCGUAAAGCGCGCGUAGGCGGACAUUUAAGUCAGAGGUGAAAUCCCAGGGCUCAACCCUGGAACUGCCUUUGAUACUGGGUGUCUUGAGUUCGAGAGAGGUGAGUGGAAUUCCGAGUGUAGAGGUGAAAUUCGUAGAUAUUCGGAGGAACACCAGUGGCGAAGGCGGCUCACUGGCUCGAUACUGACGCUGAGGUGCGAAAGUGUGGGGAGCAAACAGGAUUAGAUACCCUGGUAGUCCACACCGUAAACGAUGAAUGCCAGUCGUCGGGCAGUAUACUGUUCGGUGACACACCUAACGGAUWAASMAUUCCGCCUGGGGAGUACGGUCGCAAGAUUAAAACUCAAAUGAAUUGACGGA